GCAUGUGCGAAACGUACGUCACUUCCUCUACCACCAGUUUGCCUAAUCAGAGAAAAUAUUAUUAAUUGGAGUGCACGUGGGAAGAUGAAGCAGCUAAUUACCAGGCCUAAACAAAACAAACUUACUGUCCCAUACCACGGUUAUGGAGCUAAAAAGGUAAGAAAGAUACAUUUUAAGGACAUGAGACGAAAUGUAAGCGACAACUCUUUCUUAGCGGAUGUUACAGAGACUGUUUGCUGUGAUAAAGACGGAUUAAAUAGCCAGAGAUUUGUUUUGUGUUACGGGAAAUAGCUGUCCUUAUUUACAGAGUUCGUGUGUAUUUAUUUUGCAAGGACAUUUUUCUAUGUGCGUAAGACGGAAUUGUGUGGCACUUUUGCUAUGAGGAUACUUUAUGGACAUUGCCCCUUUAUUUUGAUAUCUCCUGCUAUGAUGUGUAUGGUGGCUGAGAACUGCCACUGCUGCAAAUAAAAAAAAUGCAAAAAAAAUAAAAAUAAAAUAAAUAAAUAAGAAAGAAACCACAACAGAAGUUAUUGAUGCAAAAAUAAAUGAAAAAAAAGUCACUGAAGCCCACUGCUAAUAAAAAUUGAAUGCAGAAAAAAUGAGCCACAAAGGAGUUAACGACACACAAAAAAAGUGGGGAUGCAAAAAAAGAAUUUUUAAAAAUGUACUUACUGCUAAAAUUAAACAACGGAAGUGAGCUGCAGGGGUGGCCAAGAACCACCACUGCUGCAGAUAAAAAAAGAAUGCAAAAAAAAAAAAAAAUUAGUCACAACAGAAGUUUUCGAUGCAAAAAGAAAACAACGCCUGCUGCUAGCAAAAAAUUAAAACCGUGCAAAUUAAAAAAAAAAAUUUAAAAAGCCACAACGGAGUUAACGACACAAAAAAAGUGGGGAUGCAAAAAAAGAUUUUUAAAAAGGUACUUACUGCAAAAAUUAAACAACGGAAGUGAGCUGCAGGGGUGGCCGAGAACCACCACUGCUGCAAAUAAUAAAGACUGCAAAAAAGAGAAAAAUAGAAGUCACAACAGAAGUUAUUGAUGGAAAAAAAAAGGAAACUGAAACUGAAGCCUGCUGCUGACAAAAAAAUUAAACAGUGUCAUACUUACUGUCCAUGUGGAUUCUCAUUCAUCCAGGUCAUGGUUAUCUUGAAGACUUAAAACAGUCUGUAAAACUGUCAUACUUACUAUACUUUUUUAAGUAUACUAGAGAAAGAUCAAAGGAGUGUGAUCCAGAUGGUAAAAGUGUGUAACUGUAAAAAUCCUUAAAAGCACCUGUUCACAUAGUAUAAACAUGAGUAGACAAACAAUCUCUGUUGUCUCUCAUCUUGUACUAAUCUUUUUUAAUAUUUUUUAGCUGUAAUCCAGCUACAGUGAAUUUUCUGUGGCUGAAGUUGCCUUUUUAAACUUUAUGUUAACUCAAUGGAAAACACCCUAAUGAGUUUAGUCUGUGGAAAUAUAGAUAUACACAGCUUGUUCCACCCACAAUUUUUCAUAGAUAUUCAUCAUUACUGAACUGAAAAACAGCUGACCUGAGAGUGUGCCUAAAUAAAACCCUUUAAUACAAUUAAAAAUCGAGAGAGCUGUCACUCUGUUAAAGUUGUUUAAAGUAGUAUUUUCUCUCUUGAAGAUCUGUGGGCAUGACAGACGUCACGCUGGAAGAAGGACAGGAGCGGUCAUCUUCCCUGAGCUGAAGCUCUAAGGUUAGAGGAUUUUUUUUUUUGUAUCAUAGCUGCAUGUUUCAUGUUUCAGCACCGAUUUGCUGAUUUUUUAGGCUCCUAAGGUUCAAGUUUAACUGUAGAGAAAAUGAUCUGAUUUUGUUACUCACAGAAACCUCUCUGCAGCCUCAAUAGUAGCACAAUGAAGGUUUCAACAUGAAGGAGCCUCUAAAGGAGCCAAAACUCUGUGCUUAUGUUUAUGAAUGUUAAAUAAAUUCUCUUUAGCUCUUUAGCUUAAAGAUGUACUUAGCACAGUUUAACAGACAUUAAAGUGACAUUACUCUGUAUUUUAACACAGUAGAGUUAAAAAGUGGAGAGAAGCUGAAAACUAGAAAUCAGGUCUCAAAUGGCAGAUUUAUCAUUUUUAAUAUUAUUGUUUUGCAUUUAAUGAAAUAAUAGAAACAAAAAUACCCAGAAAAAAAUUGCUAAACUUGAGUGAACUUUAUUUAAACAAUACAGACCAGACUAACUUUGGUACAGUAAAAUAUUAUGACAAGAACAUUUUGUAUUCUUUUAAAUUUAUUAAAAUAAGAUAAAAGAAGACAGUGAAUAAUUGGAUCAGAAAAUAAAAGGAAAAAAAUCAAAGUUUUAUCUAAAUGCAUUAAUGCUAGUCUUAUAUUUAUGUUAAUAUGAUCCAGUGACUUGCUUUACAUGAUUAUUAAAUAAUAAAUGAAAUAGAAAAAUACAGAGUUGUGUGAUACAUUUGGAAAAGUAUGUAAAUGUAAAUAAUUCAUUUAAUCGAUAAGAAAUAAAAAAAAAAACCACACCAAUUAUCUGAAAAUACCAUCCAUUCACCUGGUUAUUGAGCUGAUCAAUGAACAAAAAUCUGGUACAGAACCUUUUUUCAAGAAUAUGUUUUAUUCUGUUUCAAAAGCAGCAUUUACAGGAAUAUCAACAUUUAACAGAACUGAAACAAGACAGCACAUGAUAGGAGAUUAAAAACUGUCUGUAGUGAUGAGUAUAAAUAGAUGUUAGGUAUGUCUUACCCUAAAAACUACAACUUUCUCUUGUUCUUUCAGGACUCUACACCGGACCGUCCCUGGAGUCGGGUGGACCACCAUCUUCAUGUGGCGGCCUUCCUCCCUCGGCGUCCCGUUCAGGUAGAGGCGCUCAGCUGCUCCUGUGAUGCUGUUCAGAGUCUGAUUAUCAGUCCAUCUUUUCACUGACUGAUCAGAGACUGAGAGUGAAGCUGAACUACCUCAUUGAUAACUCGUUAGGUGUCUCCAGUAAUUAAUGUAACCAUUUUUUUAUUAAUGAAAAAAGAGGAGUCUCCAUUUAUCUCCACAGCUUCACUCUCAGUCUCUGAUCAGUCAGUGAAAAGAUAUGGGGAGAGAUUUGUCUCAACAUUAUGCACAAAUAUGUAUCCACAAUUUCCACAUGUGACUAUCAGCUCCACAAAUAUAUUUCCAUGAUUUUCACGUGUUUUUUUAAUUUGUGUGUGCAUUUAUCAUGAUUCAUCAUUCGUAAAUCAUCAGUUCUGCUUGUGAAUUGUUGAAAAAUGUGUUUGUGGAUCAACCGGCACGUGCGUUUAUUUUUGAGACAAAUAUCACAGUUUUGAAGACACACACAAGUUGAGGAUUUUCACCUGAGGAGAACACCGCCUCUCCCAUCCACUGGGCAGCAGUGUUGCUCCCUCUGUUGACAGACUGUGAAUAAGAUGAUUGACAGCUGUCCACCUUAGAAGUGGGGAGAAGUUUCUCUGCUUCUAUAGUGGAUAGCUGUCAAUCAUCUUCCUCACAGUCUAUGCUCUCAACAGAGAGACAGAGAGCUCUUUACACAAAUGUGGUCAAGUUUAACCCAAAAUAAACUCAAAUUCUGAUGAUUUAUUUGUUGUAUUUUAUGGUACAGGUGCUUGCAGUUGGACUCAACAUAUUGGAAGAAGAGGAGGAUCAUCAAACAGUGCAGCGGAUACUCUCAGGUGAUGUUAUCAUCUGUGUUCUUAAAGUUCAUCAGUGUUUUCAUUACUGGAAAAUAAUUAUUGUGUUGUAGAUGAGACAUGACUUAAAGAAAUCGUAGAGCUCAAAACAUCAGGGUUAUGAUUAAAUGAAUUUAUUCACCAAAAAUCACAAAUCAGCUAAUAUUAAUGUGUUUUUUGUUUUGUUUAAUUCGCUGCAUGAAAAAGAACAAGCAGAAGUAUGAUUAAAUUUUCCGUAAAUGUUUCUGUAAAUUAAAUCAGUCUAAGGUUUUUUGGUCAUGACUUUAAAGUUACGAUAUGACUAAAGCAGCUGCUUUUUCUUCUGUUGGGUUAAAUGUGACAAACUAAUUGUCUCUCUUCUUUUCUUUCAGGACCAACUGUGGAGUUUUUUCCUUUUGUGAAUUGUUUUCCUUUGUUCUUGUUGUUACUUAGCAUUUUUGGAGGAGUCUGACAGCUAAAACCCACAGAAUCUGGAAUAGCUGCACUCUUGAUCCAGCAGGCGGAUCAAAUACACAAGCAUCAAAAUCAGUGUGCGUGAUUCUACAGAGUCGGUCCACUGUCCGGCUCCACUGCAGAUUGGCGGUUGGAUUAGAUACGCAAGGCUUCAAUUUUUGACAGCGCAGCACAAACAGCAGCGGAAGUUGUAUGCGGUUACAGAGUAAAAUACCUGGUUAAUUUUCAAAAUAAAAUAAAGUCAAUACAUUGAACUGUUCUUCACUUAAUAAUAGUAGAAGCCAGGGUUGUGGGAUGUGGGUGUUUUAUACACACCGCCGUUUAUAUGCACUGAUCGGCAGAUCUCAUUCAAUGUCUCACGGUGAAACACGUGAGUUCUCAUGAGACCUUGUCCAGUCUCGCGAGAAACAUCGGUUAUAUUGUGAGCGCUUCUCCUCUGCUUGCUGCAGCAGAUCAGAUCUGGUGAGCGCUGUAUGCUUGGGUAUUUGAUCCGCCUGCUGGUCUGGAGCGGAGUGGAACCGCUCUGGAUCCUGUGGAAUCCCUGGGUUAGUGUGUGUUUAUUUAGUUAGAGUGUAGUUAAGUUAGGUACAGGCAGUGAAGGUAGGAGUUUUAUUUGAUUUCUGUGAAACAAGAGAGAUCUUGAGCUUCCCUUUUAGGUACUUGCUACACUCUCUGAUAGGUAGGUUGGAGAUUGAUGUGCCCUUGUUUAAUCUCAUUUAAGACUCAAUUUGUUUGAUCUUGGGAGAAGCUUGUAGUUUUUAAUGGAAACUUUAUAUGUGAACUUGACUGUAAAUGAAAAAAUAUUCACUGCUAAGAAAACAGAAGUCUGUCAAGUUGUUUUCAUGGGGGGACCAACAAGUUCAUAAAUAAAAAACACACAGACACACUGUGA